UAGCCGUAAACGAUACUCGCUAGGUGUCGGCCACGGUGCGACCGUUGUCGGUGCCGUAGGGAAGCCGUGAAGCGAGCCACCUGGGAAGUACGGCCGCAAGGCUGAAACUUAAAGGAAUUGGCGGGGGAGCACCACAACGGGUGGAGCUUGCGGUUUAAUUGGAUUCAACGCCGGAAAUCUUACCGGGACCGACAGCAACAUGAAGGCCAGGCUGAAGACUUUGCCGGAUUAGCUGAGAGGAGGUGCAUGGCGUAGUCGCUGAGACUACC
rnacentral:rRNA from 1 species